rnacentral:lncRNA from 1 species
GUAAUACAUAAUCUUACUAAUAGAACUGCAAGAAUUUGCUUUUUGCCUACGUCAGACUUUGUUAAUACACCACAGAAUCGAUCGUGUUUGGGUGAUCUCAGAGUUCUGCGGUCAAGCCACAGCUGAGGUCCAAGCAAUCAAUCAGUUCAUCUUCUAGGAGUCUCAAAGUUACUCAACUGGCUAUUUUGGUACUUUAAUGUAAUGUUAUCUUGCUGUUACUAUGUGGAUGAGCCACUCUCUUAAUAGAAAAUAUUCACGUUCUGAUGAUAAAUUUUCUAUCAGACUUUGAAAGCAUUUCUAUAUUUGAUACUUGGAGUUGAAUUAUAGUCAUGCUUCAUUUUUGUAUUAUCAUCAUACUUUAUGCUGUGAAAAAUUGAGAAAUUAAAAAUGAGUAGCCAAGAUCACUUCCCUUAAUGGUGAUGUGAAGAGGUGAUUCUCUUUCUGAAUAAAACAAGCGUAAAACUGGGUGAGAUUGUCCAAAAUGAUCGUUUCUGGGCCCUGGAAACCUACCAAAAAGGCAGAUGAUAAAUUGAGAAGCGUUAUUGAUACACUGAAUCUUUGGAUAUGAAGAAUAGGGGUUGUGGCCUUCUCGCAUGGGGGGCUUCUUCUGUCUCCUUGCCCACUAUCUCAGUAUUGUCGAGCUGCUGUUUUAUCAGACAUGAGAGACUCAAUUUGAAGUGUGGGUAAAGAUUGCAGUUAAGAAAUCACAGCGUUCAGCAUGAGCCACCACACCUGGCCUCCACUUCUUAAUUCAAUCCCCUCUCCUUGGUUGGAACAUUUAGGUUGUCCCUAGUUGCAUGCUUGGUUCAUCUGGACAUGCUUAGGUUACAUGAUGUUCAACCUGGGGGCCCAUGGCAACUGAAAAACAACUCACAACUUUGUUACAGAAGAGAGGAACCAAACUGGUCUGAUGUGGUUAGAACAGCAGCUUUAGCUGUGAUUGAAAAUUGAAACUAAUGUAUGUGUCUGUCAGCAGAUGAAUGGAUAAGCAAAUUGUGGUAUAUCUGUAGAGUGGAAUAAUACUCAGUAAUGAAAAGGAAUGGACUGUUGAUAGGUACAGUGACAUGUAUGCAUUGCAAAAUAAUAGUAUGCUAUGUGAAAGAAGCCAGACACCUUUCCCUACAAAAUAGCAUACUGAUUCCAUUUAGGUGAAAUUCUAGAAAAUGCAAGCUAAUCUGUAGUGACAGUAGAUCAGUGCCUGCAGAUCAGAGGAUGGCUUGGGAGAGGAGGGAGAAAGGGAUUCCAAAGGAAAGAGCACAAUGAAACAUUUGGGGGUGAUGUAUAUAUUCAUUAUUUGAUUAUGCAUGAUGAUUUCAUGGGUGUAUACGUAUGUCAAAACUCAUCAAAUUGUAUAUUUAAAUAUGUGCAAUUUAUUGUAUAUCAACAGUAACUCAGUAAAGUUGUAAAAACUAUGCCCAUUCAAAAAGCAAACAGAUGUUCAUACUAUUCACAGUAGACAAAAACUGGAAACAAUCCAAAUCCAUCAACUGGUGAAUAGAUAAACAAAAUUUGGUAUGUCCAUAUCAGCCACGAAAAGGAAUAAAAUUCUGAUUCAUGGCACAGGUACAUACUACAAUAUGGUUGAAGCUCAGAAACAUUAUACCAAGUGAAAGGGCUCUGUAUUGUAUGAUACCAUGAUAUGAAACUUUUACAACAGGCAAACCUUAGAUCAGAUCAGUGCUUUGCCUGGGUGUGGGGUGGCAGCAUGGAGAUUGGUUUUAAACAGGCACAGCAGAACAGUUUGGGUGAUGGAAAUGUUCCUGGUGAUAGUUGUGUAUAAAUUGUAUGAAAAUGUGUGGAAUUGUAUGCUUAAAAUGGAUAAUUUUCAUGACAUGGAAAUUAUACCUCAAGAAAGCCACUAAAUGUGGGUGGCCAUUCAGAAUUUCAAAUUCGCUUUAAGAUGACCAUUCAGGCUGGGCGCGGUGGCUCAUUCCUGUAAUCCCAGCACUUUGGGAGGCCAUGGCGGGCAGAUCACGAGGUCAGGAGAUCGAGACCAUCUUGGCUAACACAGUGAAACCCUGUCCCUACUAAAAGUACAAAAAA